rnacentral:rRNA from 1 species
GACGAACGCUGGCGGCGUGCUUAACACAUGCAAGUCGAACGGAAAGGCCCUGCUUUUGUGGGGUGCUCGAUGGGCGAAGGGGUGAGUAACACGUAAGUAACCUGCCCUUGACUUUGGGAUAGCGUCAGGAAACUGGGGCUAAUACCAGAUAGGAGCGCCGGCUGUUUGGUGGGGCUUGGAAAGUUUCGGCGGUUUGGGAUGGACUCGCGGCUUAUCAGCUUGUUGGUGGGGUAGUGGCUUACCAAGGCUUUGACGGGUAGCCGGCCUGAGAGGGUGACCGGCCCCAGUGGCACACAGAUACGGGCCAGAGUCCUACGGGAGGCAGGAGUGGGGGAUUUAGCCCAAACCGCCGAAGCAUGAUGCAGCAUCGCCGCGUGCUGGAUGACGGCCUUCGGGUUGUAAACCGUUUUCGCGUGUGACGAAGCGUGAGUGACGGUAACGGAUAAAGAAGGACCGGCUAACUACGUG